UCAUGUUUGAUUUGUUAAUAUUGAAAACUAGUACACAUGCUAUAAUUUAAAGUGUGUGAUUUCGUGAUAUUAUAUAAAAAGAUUAUUUACUAUUAUACACUUAAGACUCUUUUUAGCAUUCAAUAUUUGCAAACCUAUAGGUUGUAAUAACCAGAUUUUUAAUGAGGGGUAAGUGGGUAAUUUAGUCAUUAUUAUUAUUAUUAAUUAAUAAAAUUAAAGUAGCCGGAUAAGUCAAAAUUCAAAACCCUCUCCCUUAUUCUGUUUUUCAAAAUUUCAAUUAUAAAAGGAGUAUAAUACUAGAGCUUUUCAAUCUUUUCAUUGCUGGAAAGAAAAAUAAGAAAAUUUUGUGAAAUUUGGGAGCGUUGGUAGACGAAAAUAAGUCCUUGAACCAUUGUCACGGCUGUCGAGUUACAGAUUGAAGCCAUUAGAGGUUAUCUGACCGGUGUUCUACGUAUUACAAAGUUGGGGAAUUCGUCAUUACAGAGUAUGCAGGCCCUGAAGGCACGGGAAGACUCAGAGAGAGGCUACUGAGCAUGAGAACUACUGCAGCCAUAGUUGGUCUAUCAGCAACAUUAUCUUGAACACACAAUAAAGCUAUGUGGAUGUAUCUCAUUAUGUCACGAACCAGUCCUGAGCUUCCCUUCAACAUGGGGUCUAUCAAAUUUGUGGCUGUUCCUUCACGCCAGUUAGUCCAAGCCUGUCACAUUUUAAUUCAGAGAUUAAGAUCUACACAUUGAUAAUCCAGCAUUGAGGUGUAGUUGAUUAAUUAA